CUGGCUUUCAGUUGGCGCUGAAAUAUAGUACUUUGACAACGGAAGUGGAUCGACUUCUUGAUGGGAAAGAGGAAGAGGCAAUGGAGGGCAUUCACAAUCCACCUGAGAGCCCCUGACUGGGUAGAGCGGAUGUGUCAAGUUCCCCUACCUCUGCUUUACAAGGGAGCAGUUUGUUUCAGCCAGGUGGAGGUCAGAGACUAUUGCAUCAGCUCGGUAAAAACACGAGCUCAUAAGUGAAUAAAUGAGUCUGAUGAGUGAAAUAAAAGAAGAUUGCAGACCCGAAAGCACCACCCGACUGGAGGGGCUUCCAAAAGCAGCUGCUCGGAUUGCCCGGUCUGCUUCAUUACUUUAAUUAUUUCCCCUUGAGAUCUGAAGACCUGAGGAUUUUC